rnacentral:rRNA from 1 species
GACGAACCGUGCGAACGUUGUUCGGAAUCACUGGGCAUAAAGGGCGCGUAGGCGGCUUUUCAAGUCAGGGGUGAAAUCCGGCAGCUCAACUGUCGAAGUGCCUUUGAUACUGAGGAGCUCGAGGGAGGUAGGGGUGUGUGGAACUUCCGGUGGAGCGGUGAAAUGCGUUGAUAUCGGAAGGAACGCCGGUGGCGAAAGCGACGCACUGGACCUCUUCUGACGCUGAGGCGCGAAAGCCAGGGGAGCAAACGGG